GACGAACGCUGGCGGCGUGCUUAACACAUGCAAGUCGAACGGAAAGGCCACGCGUUUGCGGCGUGCUCGUGUGGCGCACGGGUGCGAAACACGCGAGUAUCCUGCACUUCACUUUCGGCUAACUUCUGGUAACUCGGGCUAAUACCGCAUAGGAGCUCCUGCUGCAUGGUGGGGGAUGGAAAGUGUCGGCGGUUGGGGCUGGACUCGCGGCUUAUCAGCUUGUUGGUGGGGUAGUGGCUGACCAAGGCUUUGACGGGUAGCCGGCCUGGGAGGGUGGCCAGCGACAUUGGGCCUAGGAUACGGCGCAGACGCGUACGGGGGGCAACAGUGGGAAGUAUGGCAGAAUGACGCGGAGCCUGAGGCAGCAGCGCCGCGUGCGGGAUGAUGGCCUUCGGGGUGUAAACCGAUGUCUCCUGUGACGAAGCGUGGGUGACGGUACUGGGUAAAGAAGCACCGGCUAACUACGUG
rnacentral:rRNA from 1 species